UUCCGCUAGGCCUUCCACCUUCUCAGUCAAAGAGCUAAAAUCUCAUUAAUACUUACAAAACUUUUUCUCCAAAACCAUCCACCUUCUCAGUCACACAUCAGACCUUCAGUUCUCCAAGCGGACAGGGAAGAAGACCCCCCACAGUGUAGCAUCAAACUACGUAGAGGUCGAUCAGCUUAAAGAUGUCAGGUGUAGGAUCUAAAAGAGAUGGACAAUCUAAUGGUAAAGGAGGAAAAUCAAGUAAAAAAAAAGAGACGUGCAGUAGAGCGCAAGCAGUUCAAUUACCUGCCAUAAUCCCAUCACCACCCCUCCCAUCUCAUACUGGUCCAUCUCAUGUCAAUGAGUCCUCCUUGCGUCCACCUGGUGUUGAAGUCAACCGUUCCCAGCCUCAAAACACUAAUUUUGUACCACCGAUAAUCCCAUCAGGACCCCUCCUAUCUCAUACUGCUCCACUUCAUGUCAAUCAAUCUUUCUUGCAUCAAUCUAGUGUUGAAGCCAACCAUUCCCAGCCUCAUAACAAUGAUUUUGUGCCUCCCAUAAUCCCAUCACAACACAUAGCUCAUUGUGCCUUUUAAAUUAUGAGUUUGGAUUUAAUAUUAUUUUUUAGUAUAAGUUUUCAGAUAUAUAUUUAAAUGUUGUGUUGAAAAUACUUGUUUUCGUUGAAUCUGCAGCAUCAAGGUUGUAUUAGCCACCACGUCCAACACCCAUGACCUUAAAACUUUGGAUCCACCACUGAAAAAGAAUAUUGGAAGAACGAUAGAAUCUACUUGAAAAAGUAUUGUAGCAAAGCCUCCAUCAACUAAUUAUCUGCAUAACCUUUUCUAUGUAUGGGCUUUGUUCUUUCGAUCUCAAUAUUUUUCAAGUAAGGACAUCUUACAGCAUCAUUACUUGCCUCUGUUAACAACUUUUGUGCAAGAGAUGAUUCAUUUGAUAAGUGAGAAACUUGGGAGUCCAUCAGCUUUAGGGGAAAAAGUAGAUUGUUUGCUCCCUUUCACAAGAACAAUUUUGAAAGAAAGAAACAAGAAUUAGCAGCUUCUCAAAAUGCAUCAGCUGCGGAAGGAGAUAGUAAUCCAGCUAGUCAACCUUCUCAAUUAAGUGAAAUGGAUAUUUGGGUGCAAGCUGUUGGUGGAAAGAAAAAAGGAAGAGUUGCAGGUCUUAGCUCCUUAGGUCGAUCUGUAAAAGCAAAUAAGCAAUCAACAUCGGCUUUAACGGGAGAAAUUGAUGAGAUGAUUAAAUCCUAGGUACAUGCUUCCAAUGCGGACUUAUAUGCUCAGUUGCAGGAAGAGCGACGCAAAAAUAAAAGGAUGAGGAAAGAAUUAGACUUAUUGAAGAAGCAUGUAUACAACGCAUCAUCUACAAAUGAGCGAUCAUCUCAAGAAGACAAUCAAGGUUAUCAAAAUAAAAUUGGUGACAACUGUGUUAAUGUGGAUGGAAGUGAUUCUGACACAGAAAACGUGAAUGAAAGUGACUAUGAUCAAGAAUAAGAUAGUUGAUAGUACUAUUUGGGAUUCACUUUCGAGAUAUUUUGUUUGUUUUUGAACUAAGGCGCAUUAUUGGUAUUGACGUUAUGAAUUGUGUUUUUUCUUGGUUA